rnacentral:lncRNA from 1 species
GUGUCAGGCCGUGCCACUUGCCACUGCGCUAGACGCCGCGCCGCCGCGCCGGUUCACUUUGGGCUGCGCGCCGGCGGACGGCGGAAAUGUAUUGAAAUGUUGGCGGCUAUCCGCUGUUUUUUGGCUUUGAUUAUUCUUUCUUCGUCUUGCAUUGCCUAAAACAUACUAGGUGUUGUAGUCGGCUGCUGGUCUCAGUUGAUUUUCUAAUCAGCUAUUGUAAGAAUUAAGUAUGUGUUUGCAGUAAGCAAUAACUAGUUACAAUAUUAUUUGAAUAAAAAAUUCAAGUUCAGACAAUAUUCUAAGAAGUCCAUUGGAGAGUUUAGAACUUGUAUUUUUUUUUUAAAUCUUUAUUUAAGGAGCUUGAUCGUUAGUAUUUGUUUUGUUUUUGCAACAACACUUUUUGUUAUUACAGUAGUGGCACAAUAUGUAUUCAAAGGCUGGUAUUACUAUUAUGAUAGUGAAAGUAUAAAACAAUAAUUUUCAACAAGAAUUCAACAGAAUAAUUUCACCCUGCAUUGAUUUUAUUAAUAUACAUUUUUUUCUAUUCCUCCACCACCACAGUAUGUAUAAUCAAGGCUGGUCAUUGUUUUUUUAACAGUCAAAUUUUGUUUUGUUUAGCAGUCUGAAAAAUAUUCAGUCCUGAGGGUUGCUAUUUCUUGGUUGUAGUUUUGAAACCUAAUUUGUACUUGAAGCAUCUUAACUCUGUCCUCUUUUAAACUGUUUAAAAAAUGCACUGAUUGUUUAAUGUUUUUUGUUGAAACAUGCAAUAAGUGCAGGUGCAGAUGUCCAUAAUAGUAUGUUGUGUUCAUAUUUGCACCAUGGUGUUUUGGAUCUCCAUCAAUGCAGGAAAAUAUAGUUGUCCCUCUAAGACAGUGAGUUAUUGGUUGUCAUAAUUAUUGUGGUCCACUUUUUUUGGUUUUAUGUUUUUGUCAUUUCAAUGAAAAGAAAACAUUUGACAGGACCCCCAAACUAUCACUUCACAUGCACAUAUUUUUUUUAUUUCUGUGAUAGUGAUUGAUAAUUUUUUUCUCUAAUACCAGCUACAAUGAAAAUGAAUUAAUUUAAAUUUGCUAAGGGUUUGAAAUAUCUUGUUUAGAUGUGGUUUUUAAUACUACUUUGUUCCAACGGCAUGUUUAAGUGCUUUUAUUGCUUUGUUUUUAUAUUGUUAUCUGGGCUUAAAUUUAGUCAGAAUUUUGAGAUCUCUUAUGUUUAAGAAGUCACAAAUGAAUAAUACUAAGAAUUUUUCAGUGGCAAAUUUUGAUAAAUGCUUAUUUUUUGUGAUUGCCACGCUUUUGUUAGUUUGUUUUAGUUCUCAGCUUGUAUUCUUAGUUGCAGUUUGAGUUUAUUACAACAUAAAAUUAGUGAAACUGGGUCUAGAAACAAUCUACCAUGAAGUGAUUUAUUACAGACAUGUCUGAUUCCAUAUUUUACAUCAAAAGCUAGUUCUUGGUUUGUAAUAAAUAAUCAGACAUACAAUAUAGUGUGGUUGAUAGAUUUUGUGUUUUGUUUUUUUAUAUUGUUUUCUUAUGGUGAUUUUUGAUUAUUUUCUGUAAAAUUGUCUUUCAUUGUACCAUUCAUAGCCAAAAAUAGUCCGAGUUUACAAAUUUUCUGUAUUAUUUAUAGAUCAGAAUUGGCAAAGUUUUUUUUAAAUAUAUUCUUGUCAUAUUAAAUAAAAGUUCAGUUAAUCUUUAAAAUUUUAUCUGUAACAAUUUAGCCCAUUUUAGAAAUAAUAAUACCAGCCUUAUACUAUACAUUGUCUUAAUGGUGCUGAGAGCAUUUAGGCCUUACUGCUCCAGGCAGACCUAGUGUGUGCAGCUGUGUGGCAGUGGUUUGGCAGAAUUAAUAUACUGUACAUAUUCAUAAUUAAAAUUCUGAAGUAAGCUUUCCUUAACAUGUUUUUAAAGUAAAGAAAAACAUGGCGGGGAAAUGAAUUCAUGGGUGAUAGACAUGGGACUUCUGUUAGUGACACUACAUGUGACAUUAUUUUUGUGGCUUGUUCGUCAGAUUAUGGACGACGUUUGAGGAAAGCUAUAUCGACAUUGUGUCCCGAUAUGUGUAAAGUUAUACUCCAAGGUUGGGCUACCAAAAGAAUCAGAUAAAUAUAUGUGCGUUGGGUUGUCUUGCAACCAUGUGACCUCGUCUUUACAGUCCGUUUUUUUCCCAACUAAGUUUGUCGCUGCUUAAAUCCCCUAAAUAGAUAAUCAAUUGCCACAUGUCAGACUUAGCAUAUCUUGAGGAAUGGUGUUUGUAACAUUAAGACAUGGUUUGUACGGAAUUUGAACACAUACGGAUAAUUAAAUGGAAACUAAGAAAGGUACCAUUUUUAUUUGGAAGUCUUCUUUCUCAUUACACGGUAGUCUCCGAAAUCACCUGAUUUCAAUGAAGUUUGUGUGAGUGUGUUUAGGUGGUCCCAGAUUGAAAUCCCAAAUUACUCUCUUACUAACAGAUUUAAAAUAAUAGUUCAUUUUUUUCCUGUCUUAUCCCUAAGAUAUUUAAAUUCUAUCUCCAGGUACAGUCUUUGUAAAUAAGUCGGCGGUAAAAUAUUGCAUCGUUUAUGACAAUCUUAAUUUUUAAUUAAGCAAAUUGCGCUUUUAUUGUUUAUAUUUAAAACACACACUGUCCUGAUGAAAUGCUUUUAUACCAGUUAACAGUUUCGUUAAGCAUAUAGCUUCUUUAGUUGCUCAGGCAGCCAUAACUUCUGCCUGUAUUGUUGACACAGCAACACCCUGUUGAUGCUGUGUAGCCCGUGUUAUGGCAUCCUCUUUCUUUAUGAACACAUAGUCAUUCAGGGACGUGCAUAUAAUAUUCUUGGCAUAGUCUGUAUCGCAAUACGCUGUACAUAGUUAUGCUUGGUUGUUUAUAUUGUUUCAAUAAAGUAUCUCAUUAUUUUCUUUAUUACAUUCCAAUGAGAAUAAUUAUAACUAUUGAGGUAUCUUCUCACCAAACUUUCUCCAUGUAACAUAUGGCAAUCAUAGGUCUGCUUACUAUGGUCAAUUGCGUUAAAUGUUGAAAUUUGUGAUGAAAUAUUCACUUACGUUGCCAUCACGUCGCUAUUUAACAUUAUUUUAAGUCUAUAGUAUUGUAUCAUUGUUAUUAAUAAUAAUAAUUUAUUUAUUUUAAUUUCCAGGUGUUGUGGUCAGCUGCUGGUCUCAGUUGAUUUCCUAAUCAGCUAUUGUAAGAAUUAAGUAUGUGUUUGCAGUAAGCAAUAAGUAGUUACAAUAUUAUUUGAAUAAAAAAAUCAAGUUCAGACAAUAUUCUAAGAAGUCCAUUGGAGAAUUAAGUAUUUGUUUUAUUUUUAUAACACUAUUUUAUUAUUAUAGUAGUGGCACAAUAUGUAUUCAAAGGCUGGUAUUACUAUUAGGAUAGUGAAAGUAUAAAACAAUAAUUUUCAACAAGAAUUCAACAGAAUAAUUUCAUCCCUUGCAUUGAUUUUAUUAUUAUAUUUUUCUUUAUAUUCCCCCACCACCACAGCAUGUAUAAUCAAAUCUGGUCAUUGUUUUUUUAACAGUCGAAUUUUGUUUUGUUUAGCAGUCUGAAAAAUAUUCAGUCCUGAGGGUUGCUAUUUCUUGGUUGUAGUUUUGAAACCUAAUUUGUACUUGAAGCAUCUUAACUCUGUCCUCUUUUAGUCUUUUUAAAAAAUGCACUGAUUAUUUAAUGUUUUUUGUUGAAACAUUAUGCAAUAAGUGCAGUUGCAGAUGUCCAUACUAGUAUGUUGUAUUCAUAUUUGCACCAUGGUGUUUUGGAUCUACAUCAAUGCAGGAAAAUAUAGUUGUCCCUCUAAGACAGUGAGUUAUUGGUUGUCAUAAUUAUUGUGGUCCACUUUUUUUGGUUUUAUGUUUUUGUCAUUUCAAUGAAAAGAAAACAUUUGACAGGACCCCAAACUAUCACUUCAUCUGCACAUAUUUUUUUAUUUAUGUAAUGUUUGAUAAUUUUUUUCUCUAAUACCAACUACAAUGAUAAUGAAUUAAUUUAAAUUUGAUAAGGGUUUGAAAUAGCUUGUUUAGAAGUGGUUUUUAAUACCAUUUGGUUCCAAUGGCACGUUUAAGUGCAUUUAUUGGUGUGUUUUUAUAUUGUUAUCUGGGCUUAAAUUUAGCCAGAAUUUUGAAAUCUCAUUUGUUCAAGAAGUUGUAAAUGAAUAAUACUGAGAAUUUUUCAGUGAUAAAUUUUGAUACAUGCUUAUUUUUUGUGAUUGCCACGCUUUUGUUAGUUUUUUUAAGUUCUCACCUUGUUUCUUGAUUGCAGUUUGAGUUUAUUGCAACACAUAAUAAGCGAAACUGUGUCUAGAAACAAUCUACAAUGAAGUGAUUUAUUACAGGCAUGUCUGAUUCCAUAUUUUGCAUCAAAAGCUAGUUCUUGGUCUGUAAUAAAUAAUCAGACAUACAAUAUAGUGUGGUUGAUAGAUUUUGUGUUUUGUUUUUUUGUGGUGAAUUUUGAUUAUUUUCUGUAAAAUUGGAUCAUUGGAUUUCAUUGGAACGUUAAAGAAAGUGCCAAAAAUAGUCCAAGUUCACAAAUUUUCUGCAUUAUUUAUAGAUUCCAUUUUUUAAUAUAUCCUUGUCAUAUUAAAUAAAAGUUCAGAGUUAAUCUUUAAAAUUUUAACUGUAACACUUAGCCCAUUUUAGAAAUAAUAAUACCAGCCUUAUAUUAUACAUUGUCUUAAUGGUGCUGAGAGCAUUUAGGCUUUACUGCUCCAGGCAGACCUAAUGUGUGCAGUUGUGUGGCAGUGGUUUGGCAGAAUUAAUAUACUGUACAUAUUCAUAAUUAAAAUUCUGAAGUAAGCUUUCCUUAACAUGUUUUUAAAGUAAAGAAAAACAUGGCGGGGAAAUGAAUUCAUGGGUGAUAGACAUGGGACUUCUGUUAGUGACACUACAUGUGACAUUAUUUUUGUGGCUUGUUCGUCAGAUUAUGGACGACGUUUGAGGAAAGCUAUAUCGACAUUGUGUCCCGAUAUGUGUAAAGUUAUACUCCAAGGUGGGAUACCAAAAGAAUCAGAUAAAUAUAUGUGCGUUGAGUUGUCUUGCAACCAUGUGACCUCGUCUUUACAGUCCGUUUUUUUUUUCAACUAAGUUUUUCGCUGCUUAAAUCCCCUAAAUAGAUAAUCAAUUGCCACAUGUCAGACUUAGCAUAUCUUGAGGAAUGGUGUUUGUAACAUUAAGACAUGGUUUGUACGGAAUUUGAACACAUACGGAUAAUUAAAUGGAAACUAAGAAAGGUACCAUUUUUAUUUGGAAGUCUUCUUUCUCAUUACACGGUAGUCUCCGAAAUCACCUGAUUUCAAUGAAGUUUGUGAGUGUGUUUAGGUGGUCCCAGAUGGAAAUCCCAAAUUACUCUCUUACUAACAGAUUUAAAAUAAUAGUUCAUUUUUUUCCUGUCUUAUCCCUAAGAUAUUUAAAUUCCAUCUCCAGGUACAGUCUUUGUAAAUAAGUCGGCGGUAAAAUAUUGCAUCGUUUAUGACAAUCUUAAUUUUUAAUUAAGCAAAUUGCGCUUUUAUUGUUUAUAUUUAAAACUCAUACUGUCCUGAUGAAAUGCUUUUAUACCAGUUAACAGUUUCGUUAAGCAUAUAUCUUCUUUAGUUGCUCAGGCAGCCAUAACUUCUGCCUGUAUUGUUGACGCAGCAACAUCCUGUUGAUGCUGUGUAGCCCUUGUUAUGGCAUCCCCUUUCUUUAUGAACACAUAGUCAUUCAGGGACCAGUGCAUAUGAUAUUUUUGGCAGUCUGCAGGGGCGGAUCUAGAAUUUGUGGGGUCCUGGGCUGAAACUACUUAGGGACCUAUCUAAGUACUCAACUAAUAGCCAUGUCAAAGAAGUGUUUCUAGAAUAAUAUAUUAUUAUUAUAUAUUCUUUAUUGCACAAAAAAACAUAAAUAUUACUUAAAUCUACGCAAGUAUUAGUUGUACAAAAGGCGACCACAGCUUAUUGCUGUGGUAGCAAUCUCUUCCAGGCAAUCUUUGGGUGAGAGAGAAACC